CGCACCGCAAGGUGAGUGGCGCACGGGUGAGUAACACGUGGGAAUGUAUCCUUUGGUUCGGAAUAACGUCUGGAAACGGACGCUAAUACCGGAUGAGCCCUACGGGGGAAAGAUUUAUCGCCGAAGGAGCAGCCCGCGUCUGAUUAGGUAGUUGGUGGGGUAAUGGCCUACCAAGCCGACGAUCAGUAGCUGGUCUGAGAGGAUGAUCAGCCACACUGGGACUGAGACACGGCCCAGACUCCUACGGGAGGCAGCAGUGGGGAAUAUUGGACAAUGGGCGCAAGCCUGAUCCAGCCAUGCCGCGUGAGUGAUGAAGGCCUUCGGGUUGUAAAGCUCUUUCGCACACGACGAUGAUGACGGUAGUGUGAGAAGAAGCCCCGGCUAACUUCGUGCCAGCAGCCGCGGUAAUACGAAGGGGGCUAGCGUUGUUCGGAAUUACUGGGCGUAAAGGGCGCGUAGGCGGUUUUUCAAGUCAGGCGUGAAAGCCCCGGGCUUAACCUGGGAACUGCGCUUGAGACUGUGAGACUAGAGUACCGGAGAGGUGGGUGGAAUUCCCAGUGUAGAGGUGAAAUUCGUAGAUAUUGGGAAGAACACCGGUGGCGAAGGCGGCCCACUGGACGGUAACUGACGCUGAGGCGCGAAAGCGUGGGGAGCAAACAGGAUUAGAUACCCUGGUAGUCCACGCCGUAAACGAUGUCGGCUAGACGUUGGGGCUCUUAGAGCUUCAGUGUCGCAGCUAACGCAUUAAGCCGACCGCCUGGGGAGUACGGCCGC
rnacentral:rRNA from 1 species